rnacentral:rRNA from 1 species
AGAGUUUGAUCCUGGCUCAGGAUGAACGCUGGCGGCGUGCCUAACACAUGCAAGUCGAACGAGGUAAAUAAGAUGAAGUUUUCGGAUGGAUUCUUAUUUACCGAGUGGCGGACGGGUGAGUAACGCGUGGGUAACCUGCCUCAUACAGGGGGAUAACGGUUAGAAAUGACUGCUAAUACCGCAUAAGCGCACAGUACCACAUGGUACAGUGUGAAAAACUCCGGUGGUAUGAGAUGGACCCGCGUCUGAUUAGCUAGUUGGUGAGGUAACGGCCACCAAGGCGACGAUCAGUAGCCGACCUGAGAGGGUGACCGGCACAUUGGGACUGAGACACGGCCCAGGCCUCCUACGGGGAGCA